rnacentral:rRNA from 1 species
UACGGAGGAUCCGAGCGUUAUCCGGAUUUACUGGGUUUAAAGGGUGCGUAGGCGGGCGCUUAAGUCAGCGGUGAAAUACGGGGGCUCAACCUUCGAACGGCCGUUGAUACUGGGCGCCUUGGAUUCGGUCGAGGCGGGCGGAAUGCGACAUGUAGCGGUGAAAUGCUUAGAUAUGUCGCAGAACGCCGAUUGCGAAGGCAGCUCGCCAGGCCGACAUUGACGCUGAGGCACGAAAGCGUGGGGAUCGAACAGGAUUAGAUACCCUGGUAGUCCACGCCGUAAACGAUGAUGGCUGGAUGUUGGCGAUACACCGUCAGCGUCUGAGCGAAAGCAUUAAGUGAACCACCUGGGGAGUACGAUCGCAAGGUUGAA